rnacentral:rRNA from 1 species
UACAGAGGUCUCAAGCGUUGUUCGGCUUCAUUGGGCGUAAAGGGUGCGUAGGCGGCGCGGUAAGUCGGGUGUGAAAUCUUGGAGCUUAACUCCGAAACUGCAUUCGAUACUGCCGUGCUUGAGGACUGGAGAGGAGACUGGAAUUUACGGUGUAGCGGUGAAAUGCGUAGAUAUCGUAAGGAAGACCAGUGGCGAAGGCGGGUCUCUGGACAGUUCCUGACGCUGAGGCACGAAGGCCAGAGGAGCAAACGGG